rnacentral:rRNA from 1 species
GACGAACGCUGGCGGCGUGCUUAACACAUGCAAGUGGAGCGACGAACCGGGCUUCGGCCCGGGGCAAAGCCGCGAACGGGUGAGUAACACGUGGGUAACCUGCCCCAAAGACCGGGACAACCCGAGGAAACUCGGGCUAAUACCGGAUGUGUUCACCGUCCACAAGGACGAUGAGAAAAGGAAGCUUCGGCCUCCGCUUUGGGAUGGGCCCGCGGCCCAUUAGCUUGUUGGUGAGGUAACGGCUCACCAAGGCUUCGAUGGGUAGCUGGUCUGAGAGGACGAUCAGCCACACUGGGACUGAGACACGGCCCAGACUCCUACGGGAGGCAG